rnacentral:rRNA from 1 species
UACGAAGGGGGCUAGCGUUGUUCGGAAUUACUGGGCGUAAAGCGCACGUAGGCGGCUUUGUAAGUUAGAGGUGAAAGCCCAGGGCUCAACCCUGGAAUUGCCUUUAAGACUGCAUCGCUUGAACAUCGGAGAGGUAAGUGGAAUUCCGAGUGUAGAGGUGAAAUUCGUAGAUAUUCGGAAGAACACCAGUGGCGAAGGCGGCUCACUGGCCCGAUUCUGACGCUGAGGCGCGAAAGCGUGGGGAGCAAACAGG